AUUUUAUACGGUUUUCUAAACUUGCCGGAUAAAAUUAAACUUCUUAAAAUUAAGUACAUGAAUCAGUUUUUCGGCACUUUUUGGGCGCUUUUUGUGAAUUCCGGCCACUGAUUUCACCUGCAGAUCAUUCGGAAGACCUUGCCGCUCUCAAAAUAGCUUAAAUAGCGAUAAAGAAUCUUCUAAAUAUACGAAUAGAAGGGUCAACGAGAAAUAUUUGUUUUACGUCGUUUACCGCCCAAGACCAGUAAAAGAAAGAAGACUGCGAGGAGGCACAUCGAAACAAAAGACUCUUAGCCGGUAUGAUGAUGUCUCUGGCAUGAGUAUCAUCUUCAAAGUUAAUCCAAACAUUUAUCUAAGAGGACAAUCUAAUUGUGUCAAUCUUAAACACUACUUUCAACUGGACCGUGUGGUGGAUGCUUGAAACAAUGCAGUGCCAGUGAUAUUAACGAUUAACGUGUAACAUCAACACAUACCUAGCUCUGUGUGUGUCAAAACUGUAAUGACUCCUACCAGGCGCGCAGUGCAGGCUGCACUGCCUGCUUCUUCUUAUCCUUUUGACCUGAAGGACUUAAAAUUACUACAAAAGUAAUGUACCUAUCUAUGGAAUGGAACUACAGAAGUACACUGAAGGAAGGCCUCCACAGCAAGGUGAUAAAUCUUUGAUUUUGACAUUUGCAAGUAGUCCUAAUAGCCACUGCAUCCUGAAUUGUAAUUAUGAGCCACCAAUAACAAAAAAUACUUCUGUGACAUGGAUCCCUAAUGUUCUCUCAGAUGGUGAUGAAUAAAGAAAGAAGAACCCAGGAGUAUAAAAAAAUACUUACAUACAUACCUACCAUUGUGGUGCUGUACAUACAUACAUAGUCACACCACCAUACCAGGAUGGACUGAGCCGUGCACUACCAAGAAGACCAACUGCAGCCUCUUGUGAUGGACAUAAUGACCAGAGUGGUGACAGAUAAGCAACCCAUCACAAAUAUAAAUAUUUCUUUUUUCUGUGCAAGUUUUGAUGUUAUAAAUAAAAUACAAUCAAAAAGUA
rnacentral:lncRNA from 1 species